AGUGAACGCUGGCGGUAGGCCUAACACAUGCAAGUCGAACGGCAGCACAGUAAGAGCUUGCUCUUACGGGUGGCGAGUGGCGGACAGGUGAGGAAUACAUCGGAAUCUACUUUUUCGUGGGGGAUAACGUAGGGAAACUUACGCUAAUACCGCAUACGACCUACGGGUGAAAGCAGGGGAUCUUCAGACCUUGCGCGAUUGAAUGAGCCGAUGUCGGAUUAGCUAGUUGGCGGGGUAAAGGCCCACCAAGGCGACGAUCCGUAGCUGGUCUGAGAGGAUGAUCAGCCACACUGGAACUGAGACACGGUCCAGACUCCUACGGGAGGCAGCAGUGGGGAAUAUUGGACAAUGGGCGCAAGCCUGAUCCAGCCAUACCGCGUGAGUGAAGAAGGCCUUCGGGUUGUAAAGCCCUUUUGUUGGGAAAGAAAAGCAGCAGGUUAAUACCCCGCUGUUCUGACGGUACCCAAAGAAUAAGCACCGGCUAACUUCGUG
rnacentral:rRNA from 1 species